rnacentral:rRNA from 1 species
UACGGGGGGAGCAAGCGUUGUUCGGAUUUACUGGGCGUAAAGGGCGCGUAGGCGGCCACCGCAAGUCGACUGUGAAAUCUCCGGGCUUAACUCGGAAAGGUCAGCCGAUACUGCGGGGCUAGAGUGCAGAAGGGGCAACUGGAAUUCUCGGUGUAGCGGUGAAAUGCGUAGAUAUCUGGAGGAACACCGGUGGCGAAGGCGGCGUUCUGGACUGCAACUGACACUGAGGAACGAAAGCCAGGGGAGCAAACGGG